UACGGGGGGGGCAAGCGUUGUUCGGAAUUACUGGGCGUAAAGAGCUCGUAGGCGGCUUGUCACGUCGGGUGUGAAAGCCCGGGGCUUAACCCCGGGUCUGCAUUCGAUACGGGCAGGCUAGAGUGUGGUAGGGGAGAUCGGAAUUCCUGGUGUAGCGGUGAAAUGCGCAGAUAUCAGGAGGAACACCGGUGGCGAAGGCGGAUCUCUGGGCCAUUACUGACGCUGAGGAGCGAAAGCGUGGGGAGCGAACAGG
rnacentral:rRNA from 1 species